rnacentral:rRNA from 1 species
CCUACGGGGGGCUGCAGUGAGGAAUAUUGGUCAAUGGACGAGAGUCUGAACCAGCCAAGUAGCGUGCAGGAUGACUGCCCUAUGGGUUGUAAACUUCUUUUAUAUGGGAAUAAAAUGUUCCACGUGUGGGGUUUUGUAUGUACCAUAUGAAUAAGGAUCGGCUAAUUCCGUGCCAGCAGCCGCGGUAAUACGGAGGGUCCGAGCGUUAUCCGGAUUUAUUGGGUUUAAAGGGAGCGUAGGUGGCUUGUUAAGUCAGUUGUGAAAGGCUGUGGCUCAACCGUAAAAUUGCAGUGGAAACUGGCAGUCUUGAGUACAGGAGAGGUAGGCGGAAUUCGUGGUGUAGCGGUGAAAUGCUUAGAUAUCACGAAGAACUCCGAUUGCGAAGGCAGCUCACUGGACUGCAACUGACACUGAGGCUCGAAAGUGUGGGUAUCAAACAGGAUUAGAUACCCCUGUAGUC